rnacentral:rRNA from 1 species
GGUACUCGAGUGGCGAACGGGUGAGUAACACGUGAGUAACCUACCCUUGACUUUGGGAUAACUUCAGGAAACUGGGGCUAAUACCGGAUAGGAGCUCCUGCUGCAUGGUGGGGGUUGGAAAGUUUCGGCGGUUGGGGAUGGACUCGCGGCUUAUCAGCUUGUUGGUGGGGUAGUGGCUCACCGAGGCUUUGACGGGUAGCCGGCCUGAGAGGGUGACCGGCCACAUUGGGACUGAGAUACGGCCCAG